CGGGGAAUAUUGCACAAUGGGCGAAAGCCUGAUGCAGCAACGCCGCGUGAGUGAUGAAGGCCUUCGGGUUGUAAAGCUCUGUCUUUUGGGACGAUAAUGACGGUACCAAAGGAGGAAGCCACGGCUAACUACGUGCCAGCAGCCGCGGUAAUACGUAGGUGGCAAGCGUUGUCCGGAUUUACUGGGCGUAAAAGGAUGCGUAGGCGGAUUUUUUAAGUGAGAUGUGAAAAUACCCGGGCUUAACUUGGGUGCUGCAUCUCAAACUGGGGAAUCUAGAGUGCGGGAGAGGAGAAUGGAAUUCCUAGUGUAGCGGUGAAAAUGCGUAGAGAUUAGGAAGAACACCAGUGGCGAAGGCGAUUCUCUGGACCGUAACUGACGCUGAGGCAUGAAAAGCGUGGGUAGCAAAACAGGAUUAGAUACCCUGGUAGUCCACGCCGUAAAACGAUGAGUACUAGGUGUAGGAGGUAUCGACCCCUUCUGUGCCGCAGUUAACACAAUAAGUACUCCGCCUGGGAAGUACGAUCGCAAGAUUAAAAACUUAAAAUG
rnacentral:rRNA from 1 species